GAUGAAGAACGUAGCGAAAUGCGAUACGUAAUGUGAAUUGCAAAUUCAGUGAAUCAUCGAAUCUUUGAACGCACAUUGCGCCCGUCAGUAUUCUGGCGGGCAUGCCUGUUCGAGCGUCAUUACGCCCCUCAAGUCCCCUGUGGACUUGGUGUUGGGGAUCGGCGAGGCUGGUUUUCCAGCACAGCCGUCCCUUAAAUUAAUUGGCGGUCUCGCCGUGGCCCUCCUCUGCGCAGUAGUAAAACACUCGCAACAGGAGCCCGGCGCGGUCCACUGCCGUAAAACCCCCCAACUUUUUAUAGUUGACCUCGAAUCAGGUAGGACUACCCGCUGAACUUAAGCAUAUCAAUAAGCGGAGGA
rnacentral:misc_RNA from 1 species